ACAGGACGCAUCUAUUCAAAUGUAAACGUGUUAGGACCCGCUUCGGAGCUUUGUAUCCCGUCCCCCUGCCCCGCCCUUGGCAAUAUUUGACGGGCAUUUCUCACAGCCCACAGUGAUUCACAACUGCACCUUGCUGCUCUUAGGAAUCAUGGCGUCAGUAUCUGUUGUGCGAGCCCUGUGAAAAGGUUGUCUGACCGCCAGAGGGGCGGGACUCACGGUUAAGAGCCAUGGCUUUAGAAGACUAGGGAGAGGUAGGGAAGAAGCUUUUGGAGACAGAAGUGAUGAGGCUCGGGAGGGGAGCACAGGAAGUGACGUCACAAUAGCAAAGGGCAUCUCAGAACUGAGGGGUGGUUUCCUGCAGAAAUCAUGACGCAAAGACCAGUGAGCAUGGGCUCCCAGAAAGCUUCUGGAUCUUAAAUCAGGAAGUUGCCAGUGACCUUUGAGAAGAUGAUUCCCCUAGUCUUCAGGGGAUGUCCAGGUAGGUAUUCAUUGUAACAGACCCAAUCAAGAAGAAUCUGAGUCCAGCACUUUCCAGAAAAGACGAACAGCCCCGAUGCCUCUGUCUGCCUCAGUGUCACUGAGUUCCUGGUUCCUCCAGAGUGCUUCUUCAAGCAUCAGUCAGGUUUCAACAAAGAUCACUUGGACUUGAAGAUGAAAGCCAACAGGGACACAUGCUGAUUAGCCAACUCUGUGGGAAAUCAUGGUUUGACAAUGCUAAAGGCAGCUCCUCCUGAAACUCAU
rnacentral:lncRNA from 1 species